GCUGUCUGACCCAAACUCGGAUUCCCUGGGAAAGAAAGCAGUAUGUAAUCGUAAUGGCUGAGCCAUCCCUCCAGUGCCUAAGGUCACCCAGAAGACAAGCCUCUGGGCAUGUCAGGAGGGAUCGUCUGCAUUAGGGUAACGGAGACGGGAAGAACUGACCACUGUGGGCAGCGCCAUCUCAUGCGCCAUGGUCCUGGCCUGAAUGACAGAGAAAACGAGCUGAGCACCAGCAUGUUUCUACUUCCGACUACAGAUGCCACAUGACCAGCCGCCUCCCCCUCCUGCCGCCACACCUCCUCGUCAUGAUGGACUCUGUCUACAGACUGUGAGCCCUAAUAAACCCUUCCUUCAAGUU